ACGAACGCUGGCGGCGUGCUUAACACAUGCCAGUCGCACGCUGAAGCUCAGCUUGCUGGGUGGAUGAGUGGCGAACGGGUGAGUAACACGUGAGUAACCUGCCCUCUUCUUUGGGAUAACGCCCGGAAACGGGUGCUAAUACUGGAUAUUCACUGAUUCUCGCAUGGGGGUUGGUGGAAAGGUUUUUUCUGGUGGGGGAUGGGCUCGCGGCCUAUCAGCUUGUUGGUGGGGUGAUGGCCUACCAAGGCUUUGACGGGUAGCCGGCCUGAGAGGGUGACCGGUCACAUUGGGACUGAGAUACGGCCCAGACUCCUACGGGAGGCAGCAGUGGGGAAUAUUGCACAAUGGGCGAAAGCCUGAUGCAGCGACGCCGCGUGAGGGAUGGAGGCCUUCGGGUUGUAAACCUCUUUCGCUCAUGGUCAAGCCGCAGCGUUGGGUUGUGGUGAGGGUAGUGGGUAAAGAAGCGCCGGCUAACUACGUG
rnacentral:rRNA from 1 species